AUUGAACGCUGGCGGCAUGCCUUACACAUGCAAGUCGAACGGCAGCACGGGUGCUUGCACCUGGUGGCGAGUGGCGAACGGGUGAGUAAUACAUCGGAACGUACCUUAUCGUGGGGGAUAACGCAGCGAAAGCUGUGCUAAUACCGCAUACGCCCUGAGGGGGAAAGCGGGGGAUCGCAAGACCUCGCGCGAUUAGAGCGGCCGAUGCCUGAUUAGCUUGUUGGUGGGGUAAAAGCCCACCAAGGCGACGAUCAGUAGCUGGUCUGAGAGGACGAUCAGCCACACUGGGACUGAGACACGGCCCAGACUCCUACGGGAGGCAGCAGUGGGGAAUUUUGGACAAUGGGGGCAACCCCGAUCCAGCAAUGCCGCGUGAGUGAAGAAGGCCUUCGGGUUGUAAAGCUCUUUUGUCAGGGAAGAAACACCGGCUCUAACACAGUCCGGGAAUGACGGUACCUGAAGAAUAAGCACCGGCUAACUACGUGCCAGCAGCCGCAGUAA
rnacentral:rRNA from 1 species